rnacentral:lncRNA from 1 species
GACCACAACCACCAAUGAUUGGUAAAAGAGACAGGUAAACCGACGUUGGGAACGUUUCACCUAAUAUGAAUCUUGAAACCAACACACUAAAAGCAGGCUCACCACUUUUGAUUAUGUGUGUGAAAGAAACUGCAACUUUAGACAUGCUUACAGUUGCUGCUACAUGACCAAUUGUAUGUGCCAAUGCAACCUGGAACAAAGCUUUCCAGAACUCAACAUCAGUAUUGGGUGGUUCAGCCACUUUAGAAGCCCAAGAAACCAACAUAAUAGCUGAUCCAGCAGCAAGAGACAAAGUAGAAGUCAACCAAGGCUUCAGUAUUCUCCACAACAUCCCCACCAGCUUCAUAUGCCUUACAAGAUUCAAACUUUCUCAAUGGCCCAAAAGAUUGAAGUGAAGAAACAUGCAAAGGUUUUGAAUUUGUAACAAUUGAGAGUUUCUUGAUUUUGGGUGUGGAAAAAAUGAGGGAUUUUGUUGGAGAAUUUGUUCUGUGAUCGGUGAUUUUGGAACUGCAUUUAGGGGUUGUUGAAAUUGCUUGCUUCAAUGAGAUGAUCAUAUUGAAUAUUUGAAUGUGUGAUGAUGAUGAUGAUGAUAUCAAAAUUGGUUUUUGUGAAAGAACAAAUCGAUUUGAUGUAAUUUGAUACUCCUUUGCACUUUGCAGUUCUUUUUCUUGAAGAAUAAUAAUAAUUUUGAAAUUUGAUCAAGAAUUUAUAAAGGGUUUUCUUUGAAUAUUUACAUUAUACUUUUCUCAUGUAUUUAUUUUUCUCAUGUUU